GGGUCGAUGGCGAAGUUGGUUAUCGCAUCCGUCUCACAUUGGCAUCCAUCGGUUCAUACACGGAAGGUCCUCAGUUCGAUCCUGAGUCGACCCA